rnacentral:rRNA from 1 species
UUCCCUACGGGAGGCAGCAGUGGGGAAUAUUGGGCAAUGGGCGCAAGCCUGACCCAGCAACGCCGCGUGAAGGAAGAAGGCUUUCGGGUUGUAAACUUCUUUUCUCAGGGACGAAGAAAGUGACGGUACCUGAGGAAUAAGCCACGGCUAACUACGUGCCAGCAGCCGCGGUAAUACGUAGGUGGCAAGCGUUAUCCGGAUUUAUUGGGUUUAAAGGGUGCGCAGGCGGCACGGCAAGCCGGCGGUCAAAUCGCGGGGCUCAACCCCGCCCAGCCGUCGGCACUGCCG